GCGUUGUUAGCUCAGCCGGACAGAGCAAUUGCCUUCUAAGCAAUCGG
rnacentral:tRNA from 1 species